AUGAACCCCUCCUCGGCUCCGGGCCCGGAUGGAUUGCCAGUCCUAUUUUUUAAAACAUUCUGGCAAACCAUCAAACCGGAAGUCAUGGCCCUCUUCGACGAGUUCUUCUCUGGGACCAUGGACCUUGGGCGCCUGAACUAUGGGAUCAUUACCCUCAUCCCAAAGGUAUUGAGGGCCUCGGAUAUCCGCCAGUUCCGCCCGAUCACCGUGAUUAACGUGAUAUUCAGGAUCCUGGCCAAAGGGUAUGCCAAUAGGGUGACCCUUCUAGCGGACUCUGUCACCCACCCCAACCAAUCCGCCUUCAUCGAAGGCCGAUUUAUUUUGGAUGGGGUGUUGGUCUUUUACGAAGUCCUCCAUGAAGUCCGAUCCAAGCACCACCGCGCGGUGUUCCUUAAGCUCAACUUUCACAAGGCCUACGACAUGGUCCACUGGCCCUUCCUUCGGGAAGUAUUGCUUCGAAAGGGCUUCGACGACCGCUGGGUGACCCGCUGA
rnacentral:rRNA from 1 species